AUUUCCUGGGGACUGUGGUGGAACAGCCCCGCUGCUGCUGCUGGAAGCACCAGAAACUAAACCACAUAAAGACCAGAAAAUUCUCAGCCUUGCCUGAACCGAGCAAGGACAGGCUGGUGGCGCGUGAGCCCUGGGUGUGAAAGGAGGAGGGUCGAAUUUCUGCACCCGCGUUGGGGCUUGGCUUCUGACAAACCUCCCCACCUGGACUCCUGACCCCUGAGAGGGUAAGCACCUGCCCCAAGGUCACACAGCCAGUUUGCAUCCGCUCAAACAUCUGCAGAGACAAAAGCAGUAGAGGCCAGGGAACGGAGCCAGUGGUUGGACUCGCGGCCUUGGAAGAGGGAGAGGCUCAGCUGGAGGCCCGGCGAGGGGAGAUUAACUCGGCAGGUAUAAACCCUGGCUGGUCGGACGCCUGCUUAUCCCAGCGGAGCCCUCAACUGGAGGGUUUGCAGCGGGUGUGUCCGCGGGGAUCAGAGGGACCUGAAGGACGCCCCACCUUCGAGCCUCUGCUGGGAUGCCAAUCUCAUCCUGCAAAUUCAAGUUUGCAGUUCCGUCCCUAACUUAACUCCAUCUUUAGCCAAAAUGCAAACAGUUGUGCUCUGGACAGAGAAGCAGAGGAAAAAGCCAGAGGAAAAAGGCCCGAGUUCACACUCUAAAAAGGACCUUUAAAAAAUAUUUCUGCUAUAAACAAACGACUUCUAACGACCAGACCAGGUUUUGGAAACUGAGCUUUCAGUGACUCUUCGUAGCCUGCUUUUUAAUUUUGUGUGUGUGUGUCCCCUUCCAAGGGCAAGAGCCUCUGGUCACUGUGGCCUCUCCCAGUCUCUUGGCUUUAGAUGAUCAACAAGAGCUUUCGCUGCCUCUGCGGGGUCUCCGGAGUCUGCUGAAAGGGCCACUUCCCAGCUAAGGUCUUGGGGUCUGGGUGUGGCAGCAGGAUCUUUUGCUCUGUUUGCAGCACCCAGGCAGAGCUCUCAGCUUUGGAGCCCUCUCUGAAUGUAUGGACCAAAAUCUUGGGCUCCAAGAGGAGACCCCCCCCCCCCCGCCACACACACACACACCGCACCUUCACCCAGCUUGCUGCCAGCCCCAUGAUACGGGGAGUCAGUAGAAGAAGUGGGAAACCAGCCCCCCACCCCCGGGGCUAGCCUUCCAAGCAAACCUAUCUCUGGGAGCGGGUAGCAGAUUCCAAGAACUGAGCUGGUGUGAGAGUCAUGCUCCUGGGGCAGUGUCCGAAUAGGACCUGGUUGACAGGUGACACCCAGCAUCAUGGAAUUUCAGAGCGGGGAGGACCUUGGAGAUUAUUAGACCACAGUCUGGCUGCUCUGUUUUACAGAUGGGCAAACUGAGGCCCAGAGAGGGGAAGUGACCUGCCUGGCAUCUGCCACUCGUUAGAUCCAGGCGCCUUCCUUCCAUCUGGAUGCUCACUGCCCCACCUUGAUUCUCCUCGGGAAUCAUCUGGCUGAUUAGAAAGGGGUCAGGGUGGGACAGGAUAGCUAUGGUGAGACAACAGGAGGGGCCAAUGUCAGGCUGCCUGGGUUUGAAGAGAGACCUUGGACAAGCAGAUGCUUCUCUCUGGGCCUCAAUUUCCUUAUGUGUUAAAUGGGGAUAAGUACUCACCCUAAGUCUGUGUCUGAAGGAAUAAAGGAGAUGGUACAGGAAGAGCACCUGGGCUCAGGCCUGGUCCAGACUGGUACUUAACUGAUGCUGGCUGCGAUGCUGAUGGUGGUGGUGACACUGGUGUUUGUAGUGGGCAGAAUGGUGCCCCCUGCCCCCCAAGAUCUGUCUGCCUCCAAUCCCUGGAAACCAUGAAUGUGCCCUUAUUUGAAGGGUCUUUGUAGAUGUUGAGGAUAUUGAGAUGAGGUCAUCCUGGGUUACCCAGAUGGGGCCUCAGUGUCAUCCGAAGUCUAAGGCAGGGACGCAAGAGGAGAAGGCCGUAUGCAGGCUGAGGCAGAGAUGGGAGUGAUGCAGCCUCAAGCCAAGGGACACCUGGAGUGGCCAGAAACUGGGAGAGCCAAGGAGGGAUUCCUCCCAGUGUCUUGGGAGGGAACACAGCCCUGCUGACACCUUGAUUUUGACCUUCCAGCCUCCAGAACUCUGAGAUGAGAUUUUUUUUUUUUUCUUUUCCUUUUCGGCUGCCCCAUGGCAUAUGGAGUUCCUGGGCCAGGAAUCCGAUUCGAGCUGCACUUGUGACCUACACCGCAGUUGCACCACACCAGAUCCUUCAACCCACUGUGCCAGGCCGGGCCUUGAACCUGCGUCCUGCAGCUACAGAGACGCACCACCAAUUCCGCGUUGUACCACAGCGGGAACUCCAGGAAUAAUCUUGUUUUAAGGCCCAGGUUUGUGGUAAUUGGUUAUGCAGCCACAGGAAACUAAGACAGAGGGGAUGCUAGCUCUGAUGCCGCAGGGAUGGUAAUGGCAGUGACCCUGGCAGUGAUAAUGGCAGUGAUGGUGAUGCUUAGAGCGGCUGCCUGAAGAAGUAUCACCAGCUGGGUGCCAGCCGAGGAACCACUCUAGGCCUCUCCUUUGGCUUCUGGUAGCUCGGGCAGCCCUUGGCUUCUAGAUGGUUCGCUGCAACCCUCCACGCCUGUCUUCUCUCUUCACCUCGUCUUCCCUCUGUGUGUAUCUGUCUCUGUGUCGACAUGUUUCCUUUUUAUAAGGACACCAGUCCUAUUGGAUUAGGGCCCGCUUUGCAGACCUUAACUCGACUUCCUCUGUAAAGACCGGAUCUCCAAUAUAAGGACUAUAUAGACAUAUGCAUAUGUAUGUAUACGACUGCGUCACUUUGCUGUACGGCAGAAAUUGGUAAAUCAAUUACCAAUUGGUAAAUCAACUACCCUUAAAUAAAAGAAAAUGGUAAAUCAACUACCCUUAAAUAAAAGAAAAUAAAUUAAAAAAAAUUUUAAAGGCCCUAGCUCCAAAAAGGUCUCCUUCUCAGGACCUAGGAGCUAGGACUUCAUCAUAUCUUUUAGGGGGACACAGUUCACCCCAUAAUGUGAUGAUGAUGGAGAGGAUGCUGGUGACAGAGACGAGUGUGAUAGUGAUGGUGACAAUCAGAGGCCUAAGCCCUGGACCCCCAGACUCUGUAGGAGCUACUGAGGGAGCUGCGGUCAGGUCCCAAGGCUUUCUAGAGGAGUCUCUGCUCUGCGUGAAGACCCAGGUGGAAGCAUCCCGCUGAAGGAGAAGAGAAAUGAGAAAGACGAUUGCAGGACAUCCUUGUCAAGUUAGGGCCAGGGCAAGAGCCAGACACCCUUCUGGAAGCUCUUGCCAUACCAGCUGCGAGGCCUCAAGUAAGCCCUUUAAUCUCUUGGUAGGUGCUGCACUGCCUUUUUUUUUUUUGCUUUUUAGGGAUGCACCUGCAGCAUCUGGAAGUUCCCAGGCUAGGGGUCUAAUCUGCCACAGUAAAGUGGGAUCCAAGCCGCCUCUGCAACCUGUUCCACGGCUCAGGGCAAUGCUGGAUCCUUAACUCACCAAGCAAGGGCAGGGAUGGAAGCUGCGUCCUCAUGGAUCCUAGUCAGAUUUGGUUCUGCUGAGCCACGACAGGAACUCCUCAGGGGGGGUUGGGCCUGAUUCUUUUUUUUUCUUUUUGGCUGCCCCAGGGCAUAUGAAGUUCCUGGGUCAGGGAUGAGAUCCCAGCCGCAAGCAGUUGUGACCGACGCUGCAGCUGCGGCAGCCCAGGUCCUUUAACUCCUUCUGCCAGGCUGGGGAUGGAACCUGCAUCCUGGCACUGCAGAGGCACCACCCUCCCGUUGUGCCACAGCAGGAACUCCUGGACCUGAUGUUGUAGAAGCUGCCCCACUCCAGGUGCUGAGAAGCUGGGAUUCCAGCGCUGCUGCAGUAGCCCAGCCGGCCCCAAGCCAGGGUGGGGCGCAUCAGGGUGAGUGAGCAGCAGGAAGAAGGGGACAGGAUGGCUCUGCUGAUGGAUCCCUGGGUGCCUGCCUCCUCCCCCUCACAUAGAGGGCACUUGUUAGUUUUAUACGGGUGCCAGUCUCCUGGCCCCUCUCAGCUGCCAGAAACCUCCCUGAGGGCAGGGCCCUUGGGCUGCUGACCUAAGUGCCCUGGGGAGCCUGGCUGGGUCCUCAACACAAUGCAGAUUGAGCAUGGCGGUGGGGGUGGGGAGGUUGUACACAACAGCUAGCCCUGCCCCCCUCUUUUCAUGGGACACAAGGAAGCCAAGACAAGGUGGGGGUGGCCACCUAUAUUUGCAUGCGAUCUUUCUCCACCAGACCCAGGGCCACUCAAGGAAGCUGUGCGACAAGCUGAGCAGAACAGCAGAGUCAGCCUGGCCUGGCCUUUCUUCCGGAGCCCGAGGUGCACGGUAACCAUAGCAGCAGGCAGACUGAGCCCGGACCACAGAAGGCCCACGGGUCUCUGGCAGAAGACAGGCAGGGUCAGGCCGCUGGAUUUCUCUUCUUAGACACAAUCACAUGGACUCCCCCCUCAACUUCUCUUCCUCCAGCUUUUGCAGAGCAAGAACCAUCAUAAUAGCCCACGCUUCUUCAUUGGUGCAGUCAUGGCCAUCACACACUCUUGGAGUUCCCGUUGUGGCCGGCGGGUUAAGAGCCCAACCGGUAUCCACGAGGAUUCGGGUUUGAUCCCUGGCUCUGCUCACUGGGUUAAGGAUCCCGUAUUGCCAUGAGCUGUGGGGUAUGUAGGUCGCAGACACAGCUUGGCUCCGGUGUUGCUGUGGCUGUGGCGUAGGUCGGCAGCUGCAGCUCCAAUUCAGCCUCUAGCCUGGGACCUUCCAUAUGCCAUUGGUGGGGCCCUAAAAAAGCAAAAACAAACAAGACAAGCAACAAAACAAGCACACACUCUUGCCAGGCAUGGUCCUAGGUGCCAGGAGGGAGAGGACAGCAAGACUCAGUUCCUGGCUUUGGGCAGCUUGCGUUCCAGGGAAGGUGGAGACAGAGGCCAAAGAAAUAAGGCCAAUAUCAAGAGCUGGGGAGCCAGACAAGUUAGAGACAACAGAGGGGAAGGGGCUAGACUGGAGGACAGAAGGCUGGAGUUUGGAAAGAGAGGGCAGGGCGGUGAGGAGGUGCCGGUGGCCUGAAACCUGGUUGAAGGGAGGGAGGGAACCCUGCAGAGAGCCCCGAGAGGUCCUGGACAGGGGAACAGCAAGUGCAAAGGCCCUGAGGCGGCCCAUCCUGAUGCCCUGGGGGCGGGGGUGGGGUGGGGGGUGUGCCACGUGCAUGCUCACAACCUUAUUAAGGCUCAGAUUUUCUCUGGGCAUUCCUGAAGCCAGUGUGGGUGAGGGGCGCAGGGAGCGAGCCAGGAGCCAAUGUGUGUUUUUAAAGAAUCUUUCUGGUUUCUGAGUGGAUCACACACUGAAGGAGCCAGAGGGAAGCUGGGAGCUGAUCAGUGAGGAGCUGAUGGAGUCGUGGGGAGAGGGUGGUGGCCUGGGUGGGGACAGCAACAGUGGGAGAGAGAAUUGGCUGGAUUCAGGGUUUAUUUCCAGCAGAGCCAUCAGGAUUUGCCAAAGGAUCCGAUGUGGAUGUAGAAGAAAGAAAAACAUCAAGGGUGACUGCAGCGUUACCAGCAGUGGGGAGUCUUCCUAAGAUGAAGACUACAGGAGAGGAGUUCCCUCUGCGGCUCAGCGGGUUAAGAACCCGACUAGUAUCCAUGAAAAUGCGGGUUCCAUCCCCGGCCUUGCUCAGUUGGUUAAGGAUCCAGCGUUGUUGUGAGCUGCAGCAUAGGUCAAAGAUGCAGCUCGGAUCUAGCUCGGAUGGCUGUGGCUGUGGCAUAGGCCGGCAGUUGGAGCUCCAAUUUGACUGCUAACCUGGGAAUUUCCAUUCCCAGCC
rnacentral:lncRNA from 1 species